rnacentral:rRNA from 1 species
GGGUUGUGAGGUUAAGCGACUAAGCGUACACGGUGGAUGCCCUGGCAGUCAGAGGCGAUGAAGGACGUGCUAAUCUGCGAUAAGCGCCGGUAAGGUGAUAUGAACCGUUAUAACCGGCGAUUUCCGAAUGGGGAAACCCAGUGUGAUUCGUCACACUAUCAUUAACUGAAUCCAUAGGUUAAUGAGGCGAACCGGGGGAACUGAAACAUCUAAGUACCCCGAGGAAAAGAAAUCAACCGAGAUUCCCCCAGUAGCGGCGAGCGAACGGGGAGGAGCCCAGAGCCUGAAUCAGCAUAUGUGUUAGUGGAAGCGUCUGGAAAGGCGCGCGAUACAGGGUGACAGCCCCGUACACAAAAGCGCAUGUGCUGUGAGCUCGAUGAGUAGGGCGGGACACGUGGUAUCCUGUCUGAAUAUGGGGGGACCAUCCUCCAAGGCUAAAUACUCCUGACUGACCGAUAGUGAACCAGUACCGUGAGGGAAAGGCGAAAAGAACCCCGGCGAGGGGAGUGAAAAAGAACCUGAAACCGUGUACGUACAAGCAGUGGGAGCCCCACCACUAAGCCAGUGGUGAACUCCACAUACGCAUCCUUUGCUGAGGAUACGGUUAACGGAGCGAAAGCGACGUUCAACCUCAAAAGAAGCAGAGGGGGCUUAGUGGUGGGGUGACUGCGUACCUUUUGUAUAAUGGGUCAGCGACUUAUAUUCUGUAGCAAGGUUAACCGUAUAGGGGAG